UCCUGGAGCUGGAGUCGGUUCCAAGGGUUGGGCUGUUCGCCCAUUAAAGCGGUACGCGAGCUGGGUUCAAAACGUCGUGAGACAGUUUGGUCCCUAUCUGAUGUGGGCGUUGGAAUAUUGAUGAGAGCCGCUCUUAGUACGAGAGGACCGGAGUGGACGUACCGCUGGUGUUCCAGUUGUUCCGCCAGGAGCAUGGCUGGGUAGCUAAGUACGGAAAGGAUAACCGCUGAAAGCAUCUAAGUGGGAAGCCUCCUCAGAGAUUAGUAUUCCCUUGAAAUUCCUUAUAGACUAUGAGGUUGAUAGGCUGGAUGUGUAAGCACAGUAAUGUGUUGAGCUGACCAGUACUAAUAAAUUGAAAGGUUUAAAAG
rnacentral:rRNA from 1 species